rnacentral:tRNA from 1 species
GGGCCCGUGGUCUAGCCUGGCUAUGACGCCACCCUUACGAGGUGGAGGUCGCGGGUUCGAAUCCCGCCGGGCCCACCA